CCAAACUUGGUCAUUUAGAGGAAGUAAAAGUCGUAACAAGGUUUCCGUAGGUGAACCUGCGGAAGGAUCAUUAAAGGGAUACGAGGGGAUAAGUUCCCCGUCCUUCCCACCCGGUGAAUACGCGAGGAUCCUUACCCGUUACUUCGGCGGAACUUUUCGCCGCCGAGCAACAUUUUAAAAACCCUAUUUCAACGUGUCGUCUGAAAUUUUGUGGGAAUGAAUCAAAACUUUCAACAACGGAUCUCUUGGUUCUGGCAUCGAUGAAGAACGCAGC
rnacentral:misc_RNA from 1 species